UCAGGAUGAACGCUAGCGGCAGGCUUAACACAUGCAAGUCGAGGGGCAACGCGAGUAGCAAUACUUGGCGGCGACCGGCGCAAGGGUGCGUAACGCGUGAGCAACAUGCCCGUAUCAGGGGGAUAAUCCAGGGAAACUUGGUCUAAUACCCCAUAGUAAUUUUGUAAGGCAUCUUAUAAGAUUUAAAGCUUUGGUGGAUACGGAUUGGCUCGCGUGACAUUAGCUGGAUGGUAAGGUAACGGCUUACCAUGGCUAUGAUGUCUAGGGGUUCUGAGAGGAAGGUCCCCCACACUGGAACUGAGACACGGUCCAGACUCCUACGGGAGGCAGCAGUGAGGAAUAUUGGACAAUGGAUGGAAAUCUGAUCCAGCCAUGCCGCGUGAAGGAAGAAGGUCCUAUGGAUUGUAAACUUCUUUUGUAUGGGAGCAAUAAGGCCUACGAGUAGGCUGAUGAGAGUACCAUACGAAUAAGCACCGGCUAACUCCGUGCCAGCCGCCGC
rnacentral:rRNA from 1 species